rnacentral:rRNA from 1 species
CUACGGGAGGCACCAGUGAGGAAUUUUGCGCAAUGGGGGAAACCCUGACGCAGCAACGCCGCGUGAGUGAUGAAGGCCUUCGGGUCGUAAAGCUCUGUCAAGUGGGAAGAACCCACCCUGUGCUAAUAUCACAGGGUGCUGACGGUACCACUGAAGGAAGCACCGGCUAACUCCGUGCCAGCAGCCGCGGUAAUACGGAGGGUGCAAGCGUUAUUCGGAAUUACUGGGCGUAAAGGGCGCGUAGGCGGCCUUUUAAGUCAGAUGUGAAAUCCCGGGGCUCAACCCCGGAAGUGCAUCUGAAACUAAGAGGCUUGAGUAUGGGAGAGGGAAGUGGAAUUCCUGGUGUAGAGGUGAAAUUCGUAGAUAUCAGGAGGAACACCGGUGGCGAAGGCGACUUCCUGGACCAAUACUGACGCUGAGGCGCGAAGGCGUGGGGAGCAAACAGGAUUAGAUACCCUCGUAGUC